AGUAACGCAUUAUUAUGCCGUUUCCUUCUCUCCUUCGACUCAAGAGUUUAUAUCCAUAUCAGCAAGCGUAAUGUCUGCAGGAUAAACCCGAUCCAUCCCCACCUCCAGUCAUAUUUCUUUGACUGCGUUUCCUAAAGAUUAUUUUCUCUCUGCAUCCAUCCGGGGAGUCAUUCAGAGGUUAUGAUUUUUGGGCUGCUGUUAUUGGAUAUCAUGCUCCAGUUCGGGACGCCAUUGGUCUGGAGCUUGUCAGUCUGUGGCGCGCCGAGGCUCGUGAACGCGCCGCGCAGACAGUGCACGACACGCGAGUGGCCAGAGAGUGUCUGGAGUCUGUCUGAAACUGAUAAAAAUGGUGAUGGAGUUCAUCCAGAGUCUCGCUCACAGUCAUUAGAAAAACAAAAGGAGACAGAGCGGAAUUAUACAAUCCUCCAACACUGUAGUCCGAUCGUAGCUUGAAAACUAGAUUCUGUUGUAGCGCAUUUCAAAGUUUUAUUCCAUGUUUUUCACCAGACAGACAGUUCAUUAAUUCACAGGCAGGAGGAUAACAUUUGUGCAGUCUUCUGAUGACCUCUCGGAGCUGUCACAGAUGCAGCUACACUUAAAGGUGAUACCUGUGUUCAGCGGUUGUGCUGCCGUGCUGCCGGUAGGUUUAAAAGGGCAUUUCGCACCCAGUACUCUGUGAAGCACAUUUGGGCAUGUCAUGGAGAGAGAGGUGGAAAGGCAGGAGUUCAGAGAGGUGUGCAAAGGUGCGAUUAUGAAAGCCCGAAGGCUAACGAGUAUGCAUCAGACGGCUUAUGCUAACUGAAACGAACCUCUGUUUUUCUUUGUCAUAUUUAAUGUUUGAAAUGUUGCUGAGUAUUCACACUUUCAGCUUGGCACACCAAGUUUCUAGUACCCGCUUCUUAUAUACAUUUCUAACUCAUUUCUUCUUUGAGCACAAUGAUUAGACGGGUCGAUUAACAGACAGGUAAAAAAAAACUGUACAGACAGUCUGGCACAGAAAAAGCCUAAUGUUUGAAUAUGAAGGUUACAGGGUGACUCUUGAGAGAGAGAGAGAGAGAGAGACUCCAAAAAUCAUUUUGUGAUUUCAUAUGGAAGAUAAAAAAGCUAGAAAUGAGAAAUGCUAUCUCUCCGAAUGAAGAUGGCAGCCAUUUUUGUUGUAAUGUCCAACAGCGCCCCCCAGGUCUUGUGGAGCAAGCUUAUGGAUUUUGUGUGUGGAAGAACAAGGCUCUCACUCUCCUGCAUUGCUUGCAUAUAUUCAAUAUCAAAGCCACAAUGGCAUUUUAAAGGGAUCACUGGCAGGCAGCCAAAACACAGAGCCUCUCUCUUUUUGGUGACUGUCCUGGCUUACUCGCUUUCUUCCUUUUACUCAUGUCCCCGUGCUGAUGGCAGCGUAACGUCUGACUCUUCUCAAAGCUUUACCCAAGUGCUGGAGCGAGACAUUGGAUGUAUUAGGACAGCUGCCUCCAUUUUAGGGAGGAGUUUUGCAGAGGAAGAUGGAUACCCUUUCCACAGUACCAGAAUUUGCAGCGUGAAUCAGUUCUGACUUGAGGCAUCGCCUGCAAUAUUUAGUUAUGUUCUGUCAUUCGAUGUGCAUUUGUUACCCGAAUGUGAUACAUUUUCCCGAAAUUUGCUUCGAUUGCAUUUGUUGUGUUUAUAGGAGAUUAAAUGGAAUAUAGUUUAACUAGUUUACCCGUCUCAAAUUAAAGCAAAUGCACUUUUUUUCUAGUUCUACUUUUGAUUUCCUGCAUAGGUGUUAUUGGUAAAUUUUUAGAUCAUACUGUUUUCUUCUUUCUUUUUUCUGACCACGCACCAAAAGAUUUUAAUCUGCUUUUUAAACGCAUUUCUGAUUUUGAUAUAAGUAACAUCAUAAUAUCCAAUUAAAUUGGUGCCUUCAGGCCCUCGGGAUUUCACUGGUAAAUGAUGAUGUGCUCUAAUCCGCUGUGAAAUGUUAUUUGUUUUAUUUUAUUGUAUAUUACUCAGGCAUAUAAGUAUGCUGUGUUUAGUUU